CAAAUGAGCCUUGGAAACGGCCUUCCUUUGCCGCUAUCAUGGAAUCUUUGAAAGUAUUGAUUAAACCCCCUACGCCUCCAACUGGUCAAGCGGAAAUACCAUUACUUGCCUGAAGUCCUGAAUAAUGUUGAACACCAGUGAAGUUUUCUUUUGUACACAUAAUACACAUUCUUUUGACAUUUGACAUCUGGCAGGGAUAAGAUCUAUUUAGACACUAUCAG
rnacentral:misc_RNA from 1 species